rnacentral:rRNA from 1 species
CCGGAUUUAUUGGGUUUAAAGGGUGCGCAGGCGGGUUGCUAAGUCGGUGGUGAAAUCCCGGGGCUCAACCCCUGGCUUGCCAUCGAAACUGGUUACCUUGAGUAUGGGUGAGGCAGGCGGAAUUCGUGGUGUAGCGGUGAAAUGCAUAGAUAUCACGAGGAACCCCGAUCGCGUAGGCAGCUUGCCAUUCCAUCACUGACGCUCAUGCACGAAGGCGUGGGGAUCAAACAGGAUUAGAUACCCUGGUAGUCCACGCGGUAAACGAUGAUUACUGGCUGUUCGCGAUACACUGUGAGCGGCCCAGCGAAAGCGUUAAGUAAUCCACCUGGGGAGUACGUUCGCAAGAAUGAAACUCAAAGGAAUUGACGGGGGCCCGCACAAGCGGAGGAACAUGUGGUUUAAUUCGAUGGUACGCGAGGAACCUUACC